rnacentral:rRNA from 1 species
UACGUAGGCAGCGAGCGUUGUUCGGAGUUACUGGGCGUAAAGAGUGCGUAGGCGGUUUUCUAAGUUUGGUGUGAAAUCUCCCGGCUUAACUGGGAGGGUGCGCCGAAAACUGGAAGGCUUGAGUAUGGGAGAGGUAAGCGGAAUUCCUGGUGUAGCGGUGAAAUGCGUAGAUAUCAGGAGGAACACCUGCGGUGUAGACGGCUUACUGGACCAUAACUGACGCUGAGACGCGAAAGCGUGGGGAGCGAACAGG